rnacentral:rRNA from 1 species
UACGUAGGGUGCGAGCGUUGUCCGGAAUUACUGGGCGUAAAGAGCUCGUAGGCGGUUUGUCGCGUCGUCCGUGAAAACUUGGGGCUCAACCCCAAGCUUGCGGGCGAUACGGGCAGACUUGAGUACUGCAGGGGAGACUGGAAUUCCUGGUGUAGCGGUGAAAUGCGCAGAUAUCAGGAGGAACACCGGUGGCGAAGGCGGGUCUCUGGGCAACAACUGACGCUGAGGAGCGAAAGCGUGGGGGAGCGAACAGG